UGGGGGAUAUUGCACAAUGGGCGAAAGCCUGAUGCAGCGACGCCGCGUGGGGGAUGAAGGCCUUCGGGUUGUAAACUUCUUUUGCUCUGAACAAGGCGCACCAUGGGGUGUGUUGAGUGUAGGGGUUGAUUAGCGCCGGCUAACUACGUGCCAGCAGCCGCGGUAAUACGUAGGGCGCGAGCGUUGUCCGGAAUUAUUGGGCGUAAAGGGCUUGUAGGUGGCUGGUUGCGUCUGUCGUGAAAGCUCAUGGCUUAACUGUGGGUUUGCGGUGGGUACGGGCUGGCUUGAGUGCAGUAGGGGAGGCUGGAAUUCCUGGUGUAGCGGUGGAAUGCGCAGAUAUCAGGGGGAAUACCGGUGGGGAAGGCGGGUCUCUGUGCUGUUACUGACACUGAGGAGCGAAAGCAUGGGGAGCGAACAGG
rnacentral:rRNA from 1 species